AUACGGAGGAUCCGAGCGUUAUCCGGAUUUAUUGGGUUUAAAGGGUGCGCAGGCGGCCAUUUAAGUCAGCGGUUAAAUCGUGGGGCUCAACCCCAUUCUGCCGUUGAUACUGGGUGGCUUGAUUGCGGUCGAGGUUGGCGGAAUUCGCUGUGUAGCGGUGAAAUGCAUAGAUAUGACGAAGAACACCGAUUGCGUAGGCAGCUGACCAGAUCGCAAAUGACGCUCAUGCACGAAAGUGCGGGGAUCGAACAGGAUUAGAUACCCUGGUAGUCCGCACAGUAAACGAUGAAUACUUGUUUUCGGCGAUAUAAUGUCGGAGGCAAAGCGAAAGCGAUAAGUAUUCCACCUGGGGAGUACGCCGGCAACGGUGAAACUCAAAGGAAUUGACGGGG
rnacentral:rRNA from 1 species